rnacentral:tRNA from 1 species
GCUUCCGUAGUGUAGUUGGUAAUCAUACUGGCCUCUCAAGCCAGUGACUCGGGUUCGAAUCCCGGCAGAAGCA